GACGAACGCUGGCGGCGCGCUUAACACAUGCAAGUCGAGCGAGAACCAGGGCUUCGGCCCUGGGGACAGCGGCGAACGGGUGAGUAACACGUGGGUAAUCUGCCCUCGGCACCGGGAUAGCCCGGGGAAACCCGGAUUAAUACCGGAUGGCCCAUCCGCUCCUCGGAGCGGCUGGAAAAGGUAGCUUCGGCCUCCGGCCGCGGAGGAGCCCGCGGCGGAUUAGCUUGUUGGUGAGGGAACGGCUCACCAAGGCAACGAUCCGUAGCUGGUCUGAGAGGACGAUCAGCCACACUGGGACUGAGACGCGGCCCAGACUCCUACGGGAGGCAGCAGUGGGGAAUCUUGCGCAAUGGGCGAAAGCCUGACGCAGCGACGCCGCGUGCGGGAAGAAGGCCUUCGGGUUGUAAACCGCUUUCAGGAGGGACGAAGCCACUCGGGUUAAUAGCCCAGAGGGUGACGGUACCUCCAGAAGAAGCCCCGGCUAACUACGUGCCAGCAGCCGCAGUAAAAC
rnacentral:rRNA from 1 species